CUUGGAGGAUGUAUAGCGAUAGCUAAUUGCAUCGAAAAUAUGAUGCAAGAUCGAUUUAUUGAAUAAAAUUCUGGGUAGAAUUAUGAUUAUGACAUUGUCUACCCAUGUGUCUUGACCAAAUUACGUGCCAGCAGUCGCGGUAAUACGUAGAAGACUAGUGUUAUUCAUCUUUAAUAGGUUUAAAGGGUACCUAGACGGUAAAUCAAGCCCUAGACGGGACUAAUUUGCUAGAGUUACUUGUGAGGGGGUUUUAAAGUACUAAUGGUGUAGAGAUGAAAUUUUGUAAUACCAUUUUUCGAAAGGAAAGUAAUGGCACAGGUAUAGGCGAAAGCAUCCCCUUAUGUGAUAACUGACGUUGAAGGACGAAGGCUUUGAGUCGCGAACAGGAUUAGAUACCCUGGUAGUCAAAGCAGAAAAUAAUGAGUGUCAUAGAUUAGAUAUUAAAGUUUAUUCUAUAAAUGAAAGUGUAAGCACUCCACCUCAAGAGUAAUUUGGCAACAUUGGAACUGAAAUCAUUAGACCGUUUCUGAAACCAGUAGUGAAGUAUGUUGUUUAAUUUGAUAAUCCGCAAAAAACCUUACCACAAUUUGAAUAUUUAUAUCGUUGAUAUAAUUACAAGCGUUGCACGGCUGUCUUCAGUUAAUGUCGUGAGAUUUUGGUUAGAUCCAUUAAAUUAACGCAAGCCCUUACUUUAUUUUAAAAUAAAGUCGUUCCCCACUAGAUUGGAUAAGAUAACAGGGAUUAAGACAAGUCAUCAUGGCCUGAAUAUUGUGGGCUAUAG
rnacentral:rRNA from 1 species